UCCUACGGGAGGCAGCAGUGGGGAAUCUUGGACAAUGGGGGAAACCCUGAUCCAGCGAUGCCGCGUGAGUGAUGAAGGCCUUCGGGUUGUAAAACUCUUUUACCCGGGAAGAUAAUGACUGUACCGGGAGAAUAAGCUCCGGCUAACUUCGUGCCAGCAGCCGCGGUAAUACGAAGGGGGCUAGCGUUGUUCGGAAUUACUGGGCGUAAAGCGCGCGCAGGCGGCCAUUCAAGUCAGGGGUGAAAGCCCAGAGCUCAACUCUGGAACUGCCUUUGAAACUGUAUGGCUUGAGUAUGAGAGAGGUGAGUGGAAUUCCCAGUGUAGAGGUGAAAUUCGUAGAUAUUGGGAAGAACACCGGUGGCGAAGGCGGCUCACUGGCUCAUUACUGACGCUCAGGCGCGACAGCGUGGGGAUCAAACAGGAUUAGAUACCCCGGUAGC
rnacentral:rRNA from 1 species